UAAACUAUUCUUAUAUAUGAAAAGUCUCAUGAAUCAUGCAUGAUAAAGGGUUGGGCCUUUAUAUAUAAAGCUUAAUUGGUUUUGUAUUUAAAUUCCAAUUAAGCAAGAAAAAAACAGAUUACACCAAGAUGGGGAAGAAUAUGAGCAUUAUCAAUGUGAUGAUGAUGAUGAUGAUGGGGUUGAUUAUGCUCUUAUUAUUUGUAGUACAAGCUGAUGAUCAUCACCCUCUGCCUUCUAAUCUUCCUGAUCCCCGUCGCCUUGAAUCUCUCGCGCCGCCCGUGACCAAAGAAGAACAUUUUCGAUAUGCUCGCAGUUUGGCGUGCAGAAUAAAAUGCACUAUGAGACAAUUUCGCAACGACCGUUUAGAAUGUUUGGAUGCAUGUGAGGCCAAAUAUAAAUCUUACGGGAUUUUUUCUAAAUCAGCUUUUCCUUAAGCGGAUCGGAGUUCAGAGAUCAAUCUGGCCGAGAGCAUAAGAAUGAUGGAUGGGUCUGCAUUGGCCUCGAUCGGUAGCACAAGCCACAGAAUUAAUCAUAAAGAAGAAAUGGAAGAUAUUUGCGAUUUUUAUGUUAUGUAUUUGAGAGGGGUUGGACUCUCAAGCUCUUCAGGACUAUAUGUACUUAUUUGAUGUAUAAGACUGAUGAUUUGAGGGUUGGGGUCUUAUGACAGUUAUGUCGGAUAUAUGAGAUGAUGGUUAUUGUUCUGAAUUAAUGGUAGUAUGUAAUUAUGUGUGGUGUUUAUAGUGUUCUGGUAACAUUAUUGUUUA